rnacentral:snoRNA from 11 species
UUCUCAGAAACAUUCGCAGUGGCCGACCAAGAGCUUUCGCCUUCCCCAGGCUUGAGAGCUUGUGCUGUUUUGCUCCUUCCUUGGAUGUCUGA